rnacentral:lncRNA from 1 species
GUGACUUGAGGGGAUCACUUCUUCUCCACCUUCGCCAUGUCGCCAGAGCAGCCUAAUACCAGAUCCGUGUAACCGCAAACCGCACGUCCAGCCGUCAAAAGCAUAUUCACCUGAUCGUGGCACUGUUGGGAUUUAGGUAUUUCAGGUGGUUCGAGUGGACCACUUCAACGCGGAUUCUGUAUUUCUGUCCGCCAACAAGUUCCAUCAUCACGGACUCAGUCCUCAUCAUUCCCGUCUUUUCUUUCGUUGGAAUGACAGGGACUGGAUUUUCGGAAAUUGCAUCUCCUGAAACCGGGGUUGGCAUCCUGUCAAUAAUGAUCGGUUCGUCGCCAAGGAACAUUCGGACUCCACAGUCAGACUCUGGCAAAUGGCAGGACUUUUCGAAAUAGCGACGAACGAUAGUGGCAUUUUAUCGUACCGACAAUGAAUGUGUACAUCCCCGAUCGAGGGGCUUCCAGGAAUGCUUCCCAUCCUGUCAUCGACGGCUCAAGUCUCAGGGUGAAAUCCUUCGUUCUGUAGACGCUUCCUUACUGACGGAAAAACUGUUGGAGGACACUCCCUCAACUGGCCCCUUUCCUGAAAACACCAAGUCCAGCGCACUGUCCGUUCUGAAGGCUGAUGGUGCCCCGGUGAAUGUUGGGUUGUUGUAGUAGGCCCCGCGGACGCCAUCUGCGAAGGGUUCAUCCUCGUAGCUGAACGCCCAGGAACACUGUGUCACAAGAGAUCGAAACGAUCAGUGAAUCUCUUACCCUCUGACUAAGGAACAGUUUUUCUUGUUCAUAAUAGCCCUUUUCAUAUCCCUGUCUAUGUCGUCUUUGACAUCAUCAAUUGUUGCUUCAAUUAGUCCGAUCUUGGCAGACGCUUCUUCCAUUUUCUUCAGGCAGUGUUGGCUUCGGGAAAGAAGGCCGUCUAUUUGGUUGAGAUUUUGGCUCAUUGAUGAGUGAGCAGCGCCACAUGUGGCCGUGAAUCUGCAUGUUGUUGUUCCGUCGGCCACCACAUCCAUUCAUGUGCCAAAAAAACUCGCACCUGCGUAUCAUGUCUUCGAUUUUUGCAGCCUCAGCAUCCAGUCGUGCCAUCUGAAGAAAACAGUCUUCUUUGCGGUCACUCAUACAUCUUGAAGAUUCCUG